GCUUGACCAAACAGCCGAGGUAGUUGGAGAUGGUGCUGUGAAGUAAGUGCUUAUUCUAUGCAAAUGAUGCAUCCUUAUGAAAGUACUAUUUUUUUUCUGAAAAAUGUUUGUAAUGAUAGCGAAGGCAGCACCAAUGGGUUGGAUGUUCUUUAAGAUGGUUCAGAUAGUUAGUUUUUUUUUAUAUUCUUAUGGUUGUUCAUAUGCUCAAUGCUAAGGUAACUGACACCAUCUAGUUCUUUACAUAUAAAGAAAUGCGCGCUUACUGAUAAGAUGUCAUGAGCAGGGAAACACAGCUGUUUUACCUUCUCUACACCCAUGCUCGGAUCUGUUCAAUCAUAACAAAGUCUGGCAAAGCCAUUAAGACAGGAAAUCUAGUGGUGGAUCAUGCAGAUGAAAGAGCACUAGGACUUCACUUGCUACAAUUUGCUGAGGUAGUUAGGCAUUAAUAUUGAUUCAGUCAAUAGCGCUGUUUUGGUUUUUCUUUAAUGAAAAAGAUCAUAUACAAAUACUAUUAGAUCAAUGCUGUGAAUGAUUUUGCAGGUAUAUUUUCAAACAUUCUAUUACUAAGGAUAUUGAUUCUUUAUGCAUAAAUCAAACUAUGAUGGUCUGAUUCUUAACUUAAACAAAUGGUCCAUUAUAAAAAUUUGUCAGGUUACUGGAUCGGAACAAGAGACAAGCCGUCUCUUCUUACUAUGUGAAGCAACAUCAUAGUUAUGUGGAACUGCUUCCACCUUCUCGGAAUCACUCCUGUUUACAAGCUUUUGAUACAUACAACCAAACGACCCCCAAA